GCGGCGGUCGUCUAGUCUGGACUAGGACGCUGGCCCUCCAAGCCAGCAAUCGCGGGUUCGAAUCCCGCCCGCCGCACCA
rnacentral:tRNA from 1 species